rnacentral:misc_RNA from 1 species
UGUCUCAAUAACAGAUUUCUUUACCACAAAUCCGAUAAAAUAAGCUCAAUAAGUAUCAAAUAAAGCAACAUAUUCCUCAGUACAAACCAAAACAUAACCAAACUUUAAUAGCAGCAGGCACUAAAUGAUGACAUUGUUACUAAGCAAUCAGACCUACAUGGCAUAGUAUUCCCUAAACCAGAGUCCAGCCUUGAAACCCCCCUAGCGAUACUUGAUAAAACCAAUUUCCUUGGCAUUGCUACGG